rnacentral:rRNA from 1 species
ACGAACGCUGGCGGCGUGCCUAAUACAUGCAAGUCGAACGCUUCUUUUUCCACCGGAGCUUGCUCCACCGGAAAAAGAGGAGUGGCGAACGGGUGAGUAACACGUGGGUAACCUGCCCAUCAGAAGGGAAUAACACUUGGAAACAGGUGCUAAUACCGUAUAACAAUUGAAACCGCAUGGUUUUGAUUUGAAAGGCGCUUUCGGGUGUCGCUGAUGGAUGGACCCGCGGUGCAUUAGCUAGUUGGUGAGGUAACGGCUCACCAAGGCGACGAUGCAUAGCCGACCUGAGAGGGUGAUCGGCCACAUUGGGACUGAGACACGGCCCAAACUCCUACGGGAGGCAGCAGUAGGGAAUCUUCGGCAAUGGACGAAAGUCUGACCGAGCAACGCCGCGUGAGUGAAGAAGGUUUUCGGAUCGUAAAACUCUGUUGUUAGAGAAGAACAAGGAUGAGAGUAACUGUUCAUCCCUUGACGGUAUCUAACCAGAAAGCCACGGCUAACUACGUGCCAGCAGCCGCGGUAAUACGUAGGUGGCAAGCGUUGUCCGGAUUUAUUGGGCGUAAAGCGAGCGCAGGCGGUUUCUUAAGUCUGAUGUGAAAGCCCCCGGCUCAACCGGGGAGGGUCAUUGGAAACUGGGAGACUUGAGUGCAGAAGAGGAGAGUGGAAUUCCAUGUGUAGCGGUGAAAUGCGUAGAUAUAUGGAGGAACACCAGUGGCGAAGGCGGCUCUCUGGUCUGUAACUGACGCUGAGGCUCGAAAGCGUGGGGAGCAAACAGGAUUAGAUACCCUGGUAGUCCACGCCGUAAACGAUGAAUGCUAGGUGUUGGAGGGUUUCCGCCCUUCAGUGCUGCAGCUAACGCAUUAAGCACUCCGCCUGGGGAGUACGACCGCAAGGUUGAAACUCAAAGGAAUUGACGGGGGCCCGCACAAGCGGUGGAGCAUGUGGUUUAAUUCGAAGCAACGCGAAGAACCUUACCAGGUCUUGACAUCCUUUGACCACUCUAGAGAUAGAGCUUCCCCUUCGGGGGCAAAGUGACAGGUGGUGCAUGGUUGUCGUCAGCUCGUGUCGUGAGAUGUUGGGUUAAGUCCCGCAACGAGCGCAACCCUUAUUGUUAGUUGCCAUCAUUUAGUUGGGCACUCUAGCAAGACUGCCGGUGACAAACCGGAGGAAGGUGGGGAUGACGUCAAAUCAUCAUGCCCCUUAUGACCUGGGCUACACACGUGCUACAAUGGGAAGUACAACGAGUCGCAAAGUCGCGAGGCUAAGCUAAUCUCUUAAAGCUUCUCUCAGUUCGGAUUGUAGGCUGCAACUCGCCUACAUGAAGCCGGAAUCGCUAGUAAUCGCGGAUCAGCACGCCGCGGUGAAUACGUUCCCGGGCCUUGUACACACCGCCCGUCACACCACGAGAGUUUGUAACACCCGAAGUCGGUGAGGUAACCUUUUGGAGCCAGCCGCCUAAGGUGGGAUAGAUGAUUGGGGUG